AACAAGGCGUACCUGCGGACCUGCGGAAGGAUCAUUACACAAUACAAUAUGAAGGCUGUCCGCAGCUGGAGUAUUUUAUUACCCUUGUCUUUUGCGCACUUGUUGUUUCCUGGGCGGGUUCGCUCGCCACCAGGACCACCAAAUAAACCUUUUUUAUGCAGUUGCAAUCAGCGUCAGUACAAACAAUGUAAAUCAUUUACAACUUUCAGCAAUGGAUCU
rnacentral:misc_RNA from 1 species